GACGAACGCUGGCGGCGUGCUUAACACAUGCAAGUCGAACGGAAAGGCCCUGCUUUUGUGGGGUGCUCGAGUGGCGAACGGGUGAGUAACACGUGAGUAACCUGCCCUUGACUUUGGGAUAACUUCAGGAAACUGGGGCUAAUACCGGAUAGGAGCUCCUGCUGCAUGGUGGGGGUUGGAAAGUUUCGGCGGUUGGGGCUGGACUCGCGGCUUAUCAGCUUGUUGGUGGGGUAGUGGCUUACCAAGGCUUUGACGGGUAGCCGGCCUGAGAGGGUGACCGGCCACAUUGGGACUGAGAUACGGCCCAGACUCCUACGGGAGGCAGCAGUGGGGAAUAUUGCACAAUGGGUGGAAGCCUGAUGCAGCAACGCCGCGUGCGGGAUGACGGCCUUCGGGUUGUAAACCGCUUGCGCCUGUGACGAAGCGUGAGUGACGGGAAUGGGUAAAGAAGCACCGGCUAACUACGUG
rnacentral:rRNA from 1 species